GCCCUCGUAGAGUCGGUGGGAGGCUCGCCUGGUUGUCAGCCAGGAGAUACGGGUUCAACUCCCGUCGAGGGCG
rnacentral:tRNA from 1 species